AUUGAACGCUAGCGGGAUGCCUUACACAUGCAAGUCGAACGGAGUGGCGAACGGGUGAGUAAUGUAUCUGAACGUGCCCAGUAGCGGGGGAUAACUCCGCGAAAGCGUAGCUAAUACCGCAUACUAUUGGAGCGGCCGAUAUCGGAUGAGCUCGUUGGGGGGGUAACGGCUCCCCAAGGCGACGAUCCGGAGCUGGUUUGAGAGGACGACCAGACAAACUGGGACUGAUACACGGCCCAGACUCCUACGGGAGGCAGCAGUGGGGAAUGUUUGACAAUGGGGGAAACCCUGAUCCAGCCAUCCCGCGUGUGCGAUGAAGGCCUUCGGGUUGUAAAGCACUUUUGGCAGGAAAGCGGUACCUGCAGAAUAAGCACCGGCUAACUACGUGCCAGCAGCCGCGGUAAUUC
rnacentral:rRNA from 1 species